rnacentral:rRNA from 1 species
GAUGAACGCUAGCUACAGGCUUAACACAUGCAAGUCGAGGGGAAACGGCAUCGAAAUCUUGCUUUUGAUGGGCGUCGACCGGCGCACGGGUGAGUAACGCGUAUCCCCCCUGCCCAUCACUUGGGAAUAACCUUGCGAAACUAAGACUAAUGCCCAAUGACAUCCCACGAAGGCAUACGAAUGGGAUUAACGAUUUGUCGGUGAUGGAUGGGGCUGCGUCUGAUUAGCUUGUUGGCGAGGUGACGGCCCACCAAGGCAACGAUCAGUAGGUGUUCUGAGAGGAAGGUCCCCCACAUUGGAACCACGGCACGGACCAAACGCCUACGGGAGGGAGCGGUGAGGAAUAUUGGUCAAGGGGGGCGAGCCUGAACACGCCAAGUAGCGUGCAGGAUGACUGGCAUCUGGGUUGUAAACUGCUUUUAUAGGGGAAUAAAGUGGGUCACGGGUGACUUUUUGAAUGUACCUUAUGAAUAAGAACCGGCUAAUUCCGUG